rnacentral:rRNA from 1 species
GACGAACGCUGGCGGCGUGCCUAAUACAUGCAAGUCGAGCGAACAGACGCGGAGCUUGCUCCUCUGACGUUAGCCGCGCACGGGUGUGUCACACGUGGAUCACCUACCUAUAAGUCUGGGAUCACUUCGGGAAACCGGCGCUAAUCCCGGAUAAUAUAUUGAACCGCAUGGUUCAAUAGUGAAAGACGGCUUUGCUGUCACUUAUCGCUGGAUCCGCGCCGCAUUAGCUAGUUGGUAAGGUAACGGCUUAUCAAGGCAACGAUGCGUAGCCGAGCUGAGAGAGGGAUCGGCCACACGAGAAGUGAGACACGGACCAGGCUCCUACGGGAGGCAGCAGUAUGGAAUCGGCCGCAAUAGGCGAAAGCCUGACGGAGCGACGCCACGUGAGAGAUAGAGGUGUUCGGAGCGGAAAACUCUGUUAUGAGUGAAAAACAAAUGUGUAAGUAACUAUGCACGGCGUGACGGUACCUGAUCAGGAAGCCACGGCUAACUACGUG